rnacentral:rRNA from 1 species
UACAGAGGGUGCGAGCGUUAAUCGGAAUUACUGGGCGUAAAGGGUGCGUAGGUGGUUUGAUAAGUUAGGUGUGAAAGUCCUGGGCUUAACCUGGGGAUUGCGCCUAAUACUGUUGAGCUAGAGUACUGUAGAGGAAAGUGGAAUUUCCGGUGUAGCGGUGAAAUGCGUAGAUAUCGGAAGGAACAUCAGUGGCGAAGGCGACUUUCUGGACAGAUACUGACACUGAGGCACGAAAGCGUGGGGAGCAAACAGG